ensembl:lncRNA
CCUGAACAUUGCUUGUGAAGGUUCUUUUUUCAUCGCCAUCCCAAGACAUCUCCCCUUCCUACCCUACAUCGACUGCAGCUGGUCUGUGGCAGGUGGCGCCCAACAUGGGGCAGAUAAGGGGUGUAAUCAAUUAUAGUUUGGUCUUGGGCGGACUUCACCCAAUAGGGCACUGCAGGCCCCGCACUCAGAGAAAGGAGUAGGCGAUUAAGAGAUUGGUGAAUAGUCAGAACUUACAUAGAGAAGAUAAUGGGCCACAAGGGGUCUAAAGAAAGAGGACUCUUUGUUGAUAUUUUACAACACUGUUUGCAAUCUCAUAAGGUUAAGGUUGCUACCAAAGAUUUAUCAGCCUUCCUGGACUUCAUUCAGGAAUGUUGUCCUUGGUUCCCAGAUGCAGGAACUUUGGAUGCGGAUACUUGGGGAUGUAUGGGAAAAGACAUACAGAAACAUUAUACUGAAUAUGGGCCAGAAAAACUCCUGUUAAUAUCUUCUCCUUUUGGUCUGUGAUUAAUCAAUCUAUGGGCUCUUCUAUGAUUAAUUCUUGUCCCUCAGAUACUUUCCCUUCAGCACCCACUGAGAAAACUCCACUGUUAAAGACUAAAAAACCUCCUUCCAUUUAUGGUGUAUUAGAAAAUGAAAAUGACACAGAUGAGCCAUUAUCUCCCUCAGAGGAGAAGGACUUAGAGGAACAAGCAGCUUGAUAUCAUAAUCCUGAUUGGUCACCUUUACAAGCUACUGCCUUGUGUAGCCCAAAAAAGGUUAAAGUCAUCUUCAGACAAUUAAUUCGAGCCCUCAAGAAUAUCCAACUUGAACUCCACAUCGCCAAAUUAAAAAAAAUAAAAUAAAAAAGGGGGAGAUGGUGAAGCCCAACCGACCUCCAUUGCUGCUUGACAAAGUUCCAGCUGGGGGAAAGAAAGGGUGGAACACAUCGUACCCUCAUGUUUUAUUUUUUCUUGCCAUAAUGUUUAUAAUUGUUACUGUGAUCACAGGAGUCAUUGUGUUUGUGACUAACAACAAACUCUCCAUGAGGCAAAUUGUUAAUGAUAUAUUGAAAUCUGAUCUGGCUCACAAGUCCUAAAUUCCAGUUUCUCUUAGUUCUAUUGCCACAUCCACUUCUAAAGAAACUUCUCCUAAAACCCCCUCUGUUUCCCCACUACCAUAACUCCCCCUCUUAUUGUUGACAUUCUAUUUACUAAAGGGGUCUUACGAAGAGAUUGGAAAGACAGACUUUGGAUGAAAAAAAUAGUGGAAAAUGGGGAAAAGAAAGAAAGUUAAAACAGGUAAAUACAUUAAGGAGACAAGUUACUCAAUAUUUCUCAAAGUGCUGUAAAUAUCUCCUGGUCAUGGACUAUGAACCUAAAUGGCAUUUAGUUAAGAUGAAUAGAGGUAAAGUAAAAUAGAGAGCUAAUAGCAAACUAUAUUAACCAUUGUGCAGUUUCUCAAGGGCCAGCUGGUGACCACAAGUUUGACACUUAGUUGAUUAAAUCUUGCUUUUACCCCCACUGAUAUAAAGAUUUUGAUUAAGUUACUUUCUGUUCUGUUUAGGUGUGGGUAAAUAAGGGGACAAUUGUAAUUUUUAAAUAUGUAUUCAUGAUGUUCAAUAAAAUGAAACAGGUUAGAGAAAUUGUACUUUGUUUAGCAAGAAAAUAACCUUUACUUCAAUAGAAAUUGCGAAGGCAACUUAAAAUAUAAAUAUGUUCCACCCAAUGCUCCCAGCUAUUGCUUAAAGAUAUAAAAAUAAAUCAGACCUUGUGACUUCUCAGAG